rnacentral:lncRNA from 1 species
CACAGCCUCUGGCAGGCAGCAGGCAACGGGCAUCACAGGACACAAGGCAGAGGAGGAGAGGAUAGAGCUAUAGCCCUGCGACUGAAAUGCACUCUUUCCUAGUAGAGAAAAACCCACAGCAGAGAGUGUGAGCAGCUGGUGUGAUGACAGGCAGAAACUGAAGAGCUCUUGAAGCCUUCUCUUCCUUCACAGGUGAAAAAAUAUUUUGUUUGCUGUGUAGAUUGUGCUGUUCUCAGCUGAAUGGAUGAAAAUAAAUCAUGAGGAGCUAUUCUCAAGUGUCUGUAAGUGACAUGAAUUCAGAGCUGACAACACUUCCUCUCUUGGUGUCUCC